rnacentral:lncRNA from 1 species
AUGCAUUUACAGACCAGACAUGAUGAUCCUCUGACUAGAAGCAUGACUGUGAUUUUCUGCAAUGGGAGAGGGAAGAGGAGGAUGAAAUUAUGUACGUUUCAACAUGAAAGACGAGAGAAUAACAAAAAACUUACAUUUUCAAUAGGUAUAUUUUAAAUAAAAGUCUGAAAAAGGAUUGACCUUGGAAUUUUCUGGAAAGAAAUAAAACAUGCUUCCUUGUGCCCCUAAGGGUCCAAGUCCUAGAAUCAGUUCCAUGUAGGAAACUGCAAGUUCUUCAUAGAGGCACAACAUUUGGGCCAAGGGACGACCGAAAGAAAAUUCAUGGAGACUUGUCAGCCAGAGCAAAUGCUUUCUAUCAAGAGAAAAAUUCCUUUGCACUUAGGAAAAAAAACUCAAAAAAGCGCAAGUACUUUGUUGUUGCUACUAUUCUUGCUGUGGUUUAAAUAACGUAACUCUAAACAACUUAGACCAUAUGGUGAACACAUGUCAGUACCCUGUAGACCAAAUUAUUCAGGCUUCUCAACUUUGAAUUCUCAUUAAUGCUAUGGGUCAAAUAGGAGUGAUUUCACUAAUCAUAUCAUUGCAUCAUGUUUUAAGCAAGGAAUUCAUUUAAAAAAAACUGUAAUUUUGAUUAAGUAUGCCAAUUAAAUCUAUUGUUAUAAAUACCAAAAUUUAUCUUCCUUGGCCUAAUCAUAUAAGGAACUUAAAAUUAACUGUCUACAAAGAAAGCCUCCAUUAAUCUUAAUUUCUCAGUGUAGCAUGUUGUUGGAUAUAAACUGGUUUGAGUUGGAUAACUCUUUUUUUCCAGGUUUCCUAAAACAAAUUGUACCAUUUUACCCUUUGUGCAUUAGAGAUCAGAAACUUCCUAUUAAAAAACAAGCUUCAUUCCACAUACCAAAAAAGUCAUAAUUAUUCCCACUUUAUCUUUAGCAUUUUUUCCAUUACUCAUCAAAUUACUCUCCUUCAUCUUUUCAUAAACUUUUGAAACUACAAAGAACCUUAGAGAUCUAAUCCAUCACUUCUCUUCCCUCUAGCACCACCACCCGAGUCCCAGCUACAAUCAUUCCUCAUCAAGACAACUGAGGAAGACCCCGACUGCCCUGGCUCUCUUCCCAUUUGUUUUCACCAUGCAGCCAGAGCCAUCUGUUCAAAAACUUGUCAGCACUCAUCCCAUGUCCAGUCAUCCUAUCCAUCCUCCAACAGCCUCCAUCCCAUAACAGACACCUUAAAUUCUAUCUUUGUACUAUGUUUAUGAUAAAGCUAAAACUCCUUAACUCAGCCAACUAGGCCCUACAAAAUCUGGUGCCUUUGAGCUCUUCAUCCUAAUCUCAGACCACGCUAGCUCACUCCCAGUCUUGGCCCCAGUAGACAUCUAUCCUUAGCUAUCCUGACACUCCCUACACUGUUUGACCCCCUGCUUACAAUUCAUUCUGCCUCAAAUGCUCUAUUCUCCUUCUAUACCUGAUUGGCUUAUUGUUGAAGGUACUUUUUUAGAGAUGCCAGAGCCCUAUGUUUUGAAUAAAUUCCCAGGGUAUUCUAUUUGAAGUUCAUAGUGAUAGGCUUGUCUUAAUCCCUUACUUUGGCCAAAAUGACUAAAAUGGUACUUUCUACACAGUUGGUAUGAUACAUGAUUCUAUUCAAAAUACUUUUUUGGUUCUGAUUUUGGAGGCAUUCAAUAAG